AGAAUCAACGCUGGCGGCGUGCCUAACACAUGCAAGUCGAACGAGAAAGUGGAGCAAUCCAUGAGUAAAGUGGCGACCGGGUGAGUAACACGUGACUAACCUACCUUCGAGUGGGGGAUAACCUCGGGAAAACCGAGGCUAAUACCGCAUAACAUCGUGAGAUCAAAGCAGUAAUGCGCUGGAAGAGGGGGUCGCGGCUGAUUAGCUAGUUGGCGGGUAAUGGCCCACAAGGCGAAGAUCGGUAGCC
rnacentral:rRNA from 1 species